rnacentral:rRNA from 1 species
AGAGUUUGAUCCUGGCUCAGGGUGAAUGCUGGCGGCGUGGAUAGGGCAUGCAAGUCAAGGGGGCCGCAAGGCAACUGGCAGACGAGAUAGUAACGCGUAGGAACGUACCCAGAAGUCGAGCACAGCUCGCCGAAAGGCGGGGUAAUUCUCGAUAGUCUCGCAAGAGUAAAGAUUUAUCGCUUCUGGAGCGGCCUGCGUUGUAUCAGCUAGUUGGUGAGGUAAUUGCUCACCAAGGCUAUGACGCAUAGGGGGGCUGAGAGGCCGAUCCCCAUCGAUGGAAUUGAGAUACGGUCCAUACUCCUACGGGAGGCUGCAGUCGAGAAUAUUCGACAAUGGGCGAAAGCCUGAUCGAGCGACGCCGCGUGGUGGAUGAAGUCCUUCGGGACGUAAACAUCUUUUAUGAGGGAGGAAGUAAUUGACGUUACCUCAUGAAUAAGGGGCUCCUAACUCUGUGCCAGCAGGAGCGGUAAUACAGAGGCCCCGAGCAUUACCCGGAAUCAUUGGGCGUAAAGGGUGUGUAGGUGGUUGUGUUAGUCGUUUGUCAAAUCCCGGGGCUUAACUCCGGAACUGCGGGCGAAACGGCACAACUCGAGGACGUGAGGGGUGAAUGGAACUCUAGGUGUAGGGGUGAAAUCCGUUGAUAUCUAGGGGAACACCGAAAGCGAAAGCAAUUCACUGGCACGUUUCUGACACUGAAACACGAAAGCGUGGGUAGCGAACGGGAUUAGAUACCCUGGUAGUCG